AACUCUCACAUCAACAGCACUUUCAGAUGUGUCGAUCGGGUCUGCAGUCAGGAGGGAGGAGAGCGACCAGAGGUCACGACCUCUGGGGCUUCUCUCCAGGUCUACCUGUUGAACAGCACCAUCAUCUGUAACCAUAGCAACCAGGUUCACUGGACCCAGAACCUUAAUAAUGCUGAACAUCUUUGCUCCUCAAAUGAUCCUCUCUUUCACUAUGGCUGGGUGAUUGGUAUUUGCUCACUCGUCAUGACUUCAGCUCUAUAUGCCUAAGGAGAAGAAUCUAUUCAAGACAGAGCGUUGAUAAUACGGUUUAUGGAGUUGCUCAGGAUCUGCGGUGAGCAGCAACUGGACACCCGUCAUCUCGCCGGGAGAAAGGAUUUUCUCAGCCCAGAGUCUGCUUGACUGCAGUGCAGGACCAGAAGGAAGCACCAGGACCGACCGCAGAAGCCAGACCAGCACCCUUCGCAGAAGGACCAGCACCGCAGAGCCAGGCACCAGAACCAAGACCAGCAUCGUUCUAGGAGGACCAGAAGCAAGACUACCGAUUCAGAAAGGGUCCAAGCGACCCCUCGAUCUCCCUUUUUGAGGGACAGUUCAGUUCCCAGACCACCUCACACUAAUGGGGUACACAGCCGUCCCAGCAACCCUUCGUCCUCCCACUCCGGGGGACAGCCCAGCACAGGCAUAACCUGUGCGGCCCAAGGGUCACAUCGGGCCCAUCAGUUUCCAGUGCAGACACUUCCAAGUUUCCACGCCCUUCUACUAAGACUGCCCCAUGGACUUGUUGGGGAUUUAAGUAGAAGUGCAUGCCUAGUCAUAGAAUUUAUAGUACAUGUAGGAAUAUUUAGUCUAGAAUUGUAGUUUGUGUGAUGUUAGAGAUUAGUUAUUACAUUAGCAUGUUAGAUGAAGUGAAUGCAAUAUGGA